rnacentral:rRNA from 1 species
UACGGGGGGGCAAGCGUUGUUCGGAAUUACUGGCGUAAAGGGCUCGUAGGCGGCCAACUAAGUCAGACGUGAAAUCCCUCGGCUUAACCGGGGAACUGCGUCUGAUACUGGAUGGCUUGAGUUUGGGAGAGGGAUGCGGAAUUCCAGGUGUAGCGGUGAAAUGCGUAGAUAUCUGGAGGAACACCGGUGGCGAAGGCGGCAUCCUGGACCAACACUGACGCUGAGUGAGCGAAAGCCAGGGGAGCAAACGGG